rnacentral:rRNA from 1 species
UGCGUAGGCGGGUUUUUAAGUCAGGGGUGAAAUCCUGGAGCUCAACUCCAGAACUGCCUUUGAUACUGAAGAUCUUGAGUCCGGGAGAGGUGAGUGGAACUGCGAGUGUAGAGGUGAAAUUCGUAGAUAUUCGCAAGAACGCCAGUGGCGAAGGCGGCUCACUGGCCCGAUACUGACGCUGAGGCACGAAAGCGUGGGAGCAAACA